UGAAUACGAGACGCUAAGGCGUCGAAGUAGUGUAUGUCAUACUUCCAAGAAAAGCUUGCACUGUCAUAGAUAAAAAACGCCUGUACCAUAACCGACACAGGUGGGUAGGUAGAGUAUACUAAGGGGCGCGAGAUAACUCUCUCUAAGGAACUCGGCAAAAUAACUCCGUAACUUCGGGAGAAGGAGUGCCUUAUUCUUAAGGUUGCAAUAACAAGAUCCAAGCAACUGUUUAUCAAAAACACAGGUCUCCGCUAAGUCGUAAGACGAUGUAUGGGGGCUGACGCCUGCCCAGUGCCAGAAGGUUAAAGAAGCUGGUUAGCAUUCGCGAAGCUAGUAACUGAAGCCCUGGUGAACGGCGGCCGUAACGAUAACGGUCCUAAGGUAGCGAAAUUCCUUGUCGGGUAAGUUCCGACCCGCACGAAAGGCGUAAUGAUUUGGAUACUGUCUCGGAGAGGGGCUCGGUGAAAUAGACUUGUCUGUGAAGAUGCGGACUACCUGCACCAGGACAGAAAGACCCUAUGAAGCUUUACUGUAACUUGAAAUUGAAAUUGGACUUUAUUCGCGCAGUAUAGGUGGGAGGCGUUGAUUAUAAUCUUGCGGGAUUAUUGGAGCCAUUAGUGAGAUACCACUCUUGUAAUGUUAGAUUUCUAACUUUGAAUCAUUAUCUGGUCAAAGAACAGUUUCAGGCGGGCAGUUUGACUGGGGCGGUCGCCUCCUAAACGGUAACGGAGGCGUACAAAGGUUUCCUCUGAACGGUUAGAAAUCGUAUCUAGAGUGUAAAGGCAUAAGGAAGCUUGACUGUGAGACCUACAAGUCGAGCAGGGACGAAAGUCGGUCUUAGUGAUCUGACGGUACUGAGUGGAAAGGCCGUCACUCAACGGAUAAAAGUUACUCUAGGAUAACAGGCUGAUCUCCCCCAAGAGUUCACAUCGACGGGGAGGUUUGGCACCUGGAUGUCGGCUCAUCGCAUCCUGGGGCGGUAGUACGUCCCAAGGGUUGGGCUGUUCGCCCAUGAAAGCGGUACGCGAGCUGGGUUCAGAACGUCGUGAGACAGUUCGGUCCAUAUCCGGUGUAGGCGUUAGAAUAUUGAGAGGAGCCUUCUUUAGUACGAGAGGACCGAGAAGGACAUACCUCUGGUGUACCAGUUAUCGUGCCAACGGUAAACGCUGGGUAGCUAUGUAUGGAGUGGAUAACCGCUGAAAGCAUCUAAGUGGGAAGCCCACCUCAAGAUAAGUAUUCUCAC
rnacentral:rRNA from 1 species